GGCGGCGUGCCUAAUACAUGCAAGUCGAGCGAACAGAUAAGGAGCUUGCUCCUUUGACGUUAGCGGCGGACGGGUGAGUAACACGUGGGUAACCUACCUAUAAGACUGGGAUAACUUCGGGAAACCGGAGCUAAUACCGGAUAACAUUUGGAACCGCAUGGUUCUAAAGUGAAAGAUGGUUUUGCUAUCACUUAUAGAUGGACCCGCGCCGUAUUAGCUAGUUGGUAAGGUAACGGCUUACCAAGGCGACGAUACGUAGCCGACCUGAGAGGGUGAUCGGCCACACUGGAACUGAGACACGGUCCAGACUCCUACGGGAGGCAGCAGUAGGGAAUCUUCCGCAAUGGGCGAAAGCCUGACGGAGCAACGCCGCGUGAGUGAUGAAGGGUUUCGGCUCGUAAAACUCUGUUAUUAGGGAAGAACAAACGUGUAAGUAACUGUGCACGUCUUGACGGUACCUAAUCAGAAAGCCACGGCUAACUACGUGCCAGCAGCCGCGGUAAUACGUAGGUGGCAAGCGUUAUCCGGAAUUAUUGGGCGUAAAGCGCGCGUAGGCGGUUUCUUAAGUCUGAUGUGAAAGCCCACGGCUCAACCGUGGAGGGUCAUUGGAAACUGGGAAACUUGAGUGCAGAAGAGGAAAGUGGAAUUCCAUGUGUAGCGGUGAAAUGCGCAGAGAUAUGGAGGAACACCAGUGGCGAAGGCGACUUUCUGGUCUGUAACUGACGCUGAUGUGCGAAAGCGUGGGGAUCAAACAGGAUUAGAUACCCUGGUAGUCCACGCCGUAAACGAUGAGUGCUAAGUGUUAGGGGGUUUCCGCCCCUUAGUGCUGCAGCUAACGCAUUAAGCACUCCGCCUGGGGAGUACGACCGCAAGGUUGAAACUCAAAGGAAUUGACGGGGACCCGCACAAGCGGUGGAGCAUGUGGUUUAAUUCGAAGCAACGCGAAGAACCUUACCAAAUCUUGACAUCCUUUGAAAACUCUAGAGAUAGAGCCUUCCCCUUCGGGGGACAAAGUGACAGGUGGUGCAUGGUUGUCGUCAGCUCGUGUCGUGAGAUGUUGGGUUAAGUCCCGCAACGAGCGCAACCCUUAAGCUUAGUUGCCAUCAUUAAGUUGGGCACUCUAGGUUGACUGCCGGUGACAAACCGGAGGAAGGUGGGGAUGACGUCAAAUCAUCAUGCCCCUUAUGAUUUGGGCUACACACGUGCUACAAUGGACAAUACAAAGGGCAGCUAAACCGCGAGGUCAUGCAAAUCCCAUAAAGUUGUUCUCAGUUCGGAUUGUAGUCUGCAACUCGACUACAUGAAGCUGGAAUCGCUAGUAAUCGUAGAUCAGCAUGCUACGGUGAAUACGUUCCCGGGUCUUGUACACACCGCCCGUCACACCACGAGAGUUUGUAACACCCGAAGCCGGUGGAGUAACCAUUUAUGGAGCUAGCCGUCG
rnacentral:rRNA from 1 species